UACGUAGGGUGCAAGCGUUAAUCGGAAUUACUGGGCGUAAAGCGUGCGCAGGCGGUUUUGUAAGUCUGACGUGAAAUCCCCGGGCUCAACCUGGGAAUUGCGUUGGAGACUGCAAGGCUAGAAUCUGGCAGAGGGGGGUAGAAUUCCACGUGUAGCAGUGAAAUGCGUAGAGAUGUGGAGGAACACCGAUGGCGAAGGCAGCCCCCUGGGUCAAGAUUGACGCUCAUGCACGAAAGCGUGGGGAUCAAACAGG
rnacentral:rRNA from 1 species